rnacentral:tRNA from 1 species
GGGUAUAUAGCUCAGUGGUAGAGCGCGUGCUUGGCAUGCAUGAGGUCCUGAGGUCUCAGAACAUUCA